AAAAAGGCCCCAUUCGGGGCCUUCAAACACAAUAAAAAACUAUAUA
rfam:Zhouia amylolytica AD3 51.P278.1_23, whole genome shotgun sequence.